rnacentral:rRNA from 1 species
CACCCGCGCCACAAGUGGUGAUCAGAAUUAUUGGGCCUAAAGCGUCCGUAGCCGGCUUUGUAAAUUCUUUGUGAAAUCGUUGUGCUCAACGCAACGGCGGGCAAGGAACACUGCACAGCUAGAAACCAGGAGGGGCAAGAGGUAUUCUGUGGGGAGCGGUAAAAUGCUAUAAUCCACGGAGGACCACCGAUGGCGAAGGCAUCUUGCCAGAAUGGAUUUGACGGUGAGGGACGAAAGCCAGGGGA